rnacentral:rRNA from 1 species
CCUACGGGAGGCUGCAGUGAGGAAUAUUGGUCAAUGGACGAGAGUCUGAACCAGCCAAGUAGCGUGAAGGAUGACUGCCCUAUGGGUUGUAAACUUCUUUGAUAAAGGAAUAAAACGAGGCACGGGUGCCUUUUUGCAUGGACGGUAUGAAUAAGGAUCGGCUAACUCCGUGCCAGGAGCCGCGGUAAGACGGAGGUGCCGAGCGUUAUCCGGAUUUGUUGGGUUGCAAGGGAGCGUAGCUGGGUUGGUAAGUCAGUUGUGAAGGUUUGCGGCUCAACCGUAAAAUUGCAAUUGAUACUGGCAGUCUUGAGUACAGUUGAGGUAGGCGGACUUCGUGGUGUAGCGGU